UGCCACGUGCUAUUUCUAGGUGUCUUCCUCCGCCCUCUUGUUCUCUGUUUCUGAUGGCUGAGCAGCAGGGACCGAGCCACUCUGGAAGGCACAUGUAGACAAGACCAGAGCCGCCGUCCACCCCCACGAUGCUGCCUUCCAACUUGGAACACAGACUGUCACGUGAGGGAGAAGUCAUCUUCAAUCUGGACCAGGCCUGGACCCCCGACAGCUGGACUCGCUCCUGCAUCUACAAUGGCUCCAUCACACCUCUGGGUGAUACUGUUGAAUAAGUACCCCGCACCAGGCACAGGAUUGGACAGACCCACCCCUGCCCUCCAGGUCCUCCCCACAGGGAGGGACGGAAAAGUAAACAGGCAACGACAAAGCAGCAAAACACGGUGAGGGUGAGGGAUGCCUUCACCAGGUGAGCGGGAGACAGAGGACUCACUCUGUGGCCUGUGGGGAGUCCACAGCAAAGGGACAAAAGUGGACGCAGGAAAGCAAUUUGGGAAAUGGCAAUAAACCAGGAAAGAAGGACAUAGUCUGAGUGGAUCUGGGGUGCGGGGAUGCAGAGGGGCCCAGCAAACAUCAGAGAUGCUGAAGAGGAGCCUCUGAGGACCUGAGACAAGCAUCCCCCAGACCCUCUGUCCAGAGCUCAAGGGCUGGCAGUACUUUCUAAGCAAGACCCAAGCCUUGGUGGUGUGAGCCCCAGCCUGGGUCCUCCUCUGGGCACAGGGGUGCUACAAGCAGGGGUGGAUGCCUGCCUCCCUCCACUUGCCAGGGUAACAAGGCUCAGAGCCACCGUGGCAAUCAGGAGAAACGAAGUCCUCCCAUGCCAGAGACGGCCGCAGAGACGUUGCCAUGGUAAAGGGGGACCAGCAGAGCAGCCUGCACUGGAAGAAUCGUCAGCAUUCAGACAGAAGUUGAACUUCCAAGGCUGGCGGGGGCACUGGACACACCCAGCUGCAUUCUGCUCCAACAGCACAUGGGAGGGAAGAAAGGCUCUUUGACUCCCAAACAGGCUUUAUUGUGGCCUCGGUUCCAAGUUCAACCGUAAGGACUCAGAGAGAAAAGGGGAAGUUGGGAGAGGUUAGAACGCACACAGUAAAGGGGCAGAACUCAGACUCACAAGCAGCUCACCAGAUUUCUAACCCCAAGAGGGAUGGGAGAUGAGAGACUGGCCUAAGGGUGUGUGUGGGGAGGGGGUCUGACAGGCAGAACUGAGGGCCCAGAUGAGAGGGGAGUACCCCAAGCAAAGGGAACAGAGCAAAGAAAAGGUUUAAAGAAUGAAAUUCAACACGAGAAACAUUUGGCCAUUUGUUUGAGUCGUCAGGUAGUUUAUGUUCCAGACGCUUCGGCUGCUAAGACUGCCCUGGAGGCUCCAUCUCUGAAACAAUUCCCUUCCUUGCAAGAUGGGGUUUAGGGACAGGGCCAUGGGACCUUGAGAUAAAUGUGGCACAGCCCCGAGGGCCCCGCGUGAGGUAGGGACAUCAGGUGGGUUCACGGGUCAGUAACAGUUCUGGGCAAUCUGCGUGAGGCACGGCCAGUACAGCAACAAGUGCGAGAGAGGACGCCCGGAACGGGCUCCCGCGGCGAUGCUCCGGCUCCCGGCGCCCCGCAAGCUUCCCCGCGAUCCCCACCGCCCUUCUUCAAUCCGGCGGGCCAGCGGCUGCGGAGGAAACGUGGCGCCGAGGACCAGGCGCGGUUUCCGGGUGGACCGCGCCCUCGCGCGGCCGCCUCCCGCAUGACAGCUCCGCCCGCGGGGCCCGCGGUCAGCGCAAGGGCACAGAGGCGGCCCGCCCGCUGCCUGCCGCGUCCGUCUCGGGCCCGCCAGGAGACUCCCCAUCCCGCUCCUCCCACUGACCCCGGGCCCCACUGUCCUCCAAACUCUGCUGCCCCAGCCAGCUUGACUUCCAUGAGGAAAAGGCCUUUUUAUUUCUAGUUCUCUCUGUUUACAGAAUUUAACGUUAUUUCUGUAAAACUAUUCAAAAAAUGGAAAAACACAAAAUAGAAAAGUUAAAAUUACCACAUAGCCCACCACCUAGAAACAACUUAAAACAUUUUUGUGACUGUUAAUAGCACACAGCGAGCCUUCUUUCUUCCCUCCUUCCUUUCCCUUUUUUCAAUGAAAAUUUUCAUGUAAAAGGAAUUCACAAAUAGAGGUACACCUGUAGGCAGAAUUUCACAACUGGUCAAAUUUUGUCCCUUGAUGCUGGACA